CGACAAACCGACAUGAAACUUAAACUUAACUCUUGAUCGAGAAUCCAUAACGGCGGAUUCAAAUGUGCAUCUAUUAGACACGAACCAACUCAUACAUUUUGCAUGCGUGUUCGUGGCUAGGAUACACAUUUUUCGCGAACACGGCGGCAGAUGUCAGUUUUGUGCUUUGAUCAGAAAUUUUAUGGUUCUUUGUAUGAUAAUUCAUCUUUCAGUUUGGCUAAAAACCCACUUACAUCAUCAGAUCCAUACAAACGACCGCGAAACUCGGACCUGAAUGGGUCAAAUACAAGUGACAAUCCAACACCCGC